CACGUAGGGGGCGAGCGUUGUCCGGAUUUAUUGGGCGUAAAGAGCUCGUAGGCGGUUCGGCAAGUCGGGUGUGAAAUCCCCCGGCUCAACCUGGGAACUGCGUCUGAUACUGGAGGGCUUGAAUGCGGGAGAGGGAUGUAGAAUUCCAGGUGUAGCGGUGAAAUGCGUAGAUAUCUGGAGGAAUACCGGUGGCGAAGGCGGCAUCCUGGACCGACAUUGACGCUGAGGAGCGAAAGCUAGGGGAGCAAACGGGG
rnacentral:rRNA from 1 species